AAGCAUUGGCGAGUGGUCGCUUUAUAUGUAAAGAGGAAAGUCCGGGCUUCACAGAGCGGGAUGCAAGAUAACGUCUUGACGGAGUAAUCCGAUGAACAAGUGCAACAGAAAAUAAACAGCCUUUAUGGCAAUGGUGAAAUGGUGGUGUAAGAGACCACCGGGUUCAUAGUGAUAUGGAACCGCAGUGCAAACUCCAUCCGAAGCAAGUAAAAUUAGUCAUUAAGGUUGCUCGCCUUGACUAUGGUAUACGCUUGAGGUUUGUGGUGACACAAAUCCCAGAUAGAUGACCACAUAGACAUAACCCGGCUUAUAGCCAAUACUUCUUU
rnacentral:RNase_P_RNA from 1 species